rnacentral:rRNA from 1 species
GGGCCCGCACAAGCGGAGGAACAUGUGGUUUAAUUCGAUGAUACGCGAGGAACCUUACCCGGGAUUGAAUGUGACAGGACGUACGGCGAAAGUCGUAUUCCAGCGAUGGCCUGUUGCGAGGUGCUGCAUGGUUGUCGUCAGCUCGUGCCGUGAGGUGUCGGCUUAAGUGCCAUAACGAGCGCAACCCCUAUCGCCUGUUGCCAGCGUGUAAUGACGGGGACUCGGGCGGGACUGCCGGCGUAAGCUGCGAGGAAGGUGGGGAUGACGUCAAAUCAGCACGGCCCUUAUGUCCGGGGCGACACACGUGUUACAAUGGCAGGGACAAAGAGCAGCUACCGUGCGAGCGGAAGCGAAUCUUCAAACCCUGUCUCAGUUCGGAUCGGAGUCUGCAACUCGACUCCGUGAAGCCGGAUUCGCUAGUAAUCGCGCAUCAGUCCAUGGCG